rnacentral:rRNA from 1 species
CCUACGGGAGGCAGCAGUAGGGAAUAUUGCUCAAUGGGGGAAACCCUGAAGCAGCAACGCCGCGUGGAGGAUGAAGGUUUUCGGAUUGUAACCUCCUUUUGUUAGAGAGGAUAAUGACGUUAUCUAAAGAAUAAGCACCUGCUAACUCCGGGCCAGCAGCCGCGGUAAUACGGAGGGUGCAAGCGUUACUUGGAAUCACUGGGCGUAAAGAGCUCGUAGGCGGGGUAGCAAGUCAGAUGUGAAAUCCUAGGGCUUAACCAUAGAACUGCAUUUGAAACUGUUAUUCUAGAGUGUGGGAGAGGUAGGUGGAAUUCUUGGUGUAGGGGUAAAAUCCGUAGAGAUCAAGAGGAAUACUCAUUGCGAAGGCGACCUGCUAGAACAUAACUGACGCUGAUGCGCGAAAGCGUGGGGAGCAAACAGGAUUAGAUACCCCAGUAGUC